UCCGCCCUGCGCGGCUUGCUGCUGCUGGCCGUGGGCACCCACGUGGUCGCAGCCCAGCCCAGUCGGCUCGGGAGGAUCUGAUAGACUGCGCGCUCUUAGGCAGCUAGGUGUUUUGUCGCCGAGCGGGACGGACUGCGAGCUGUCAAAUCUGAGGGCUUGUUUUGUCGAGUCGAAAGUGAAAUUUUCCUUUGGUCAACGUGACAGGGCUUUGUUUGGUGGUAACGGGGUGCUGGAGACCCCUCGUUCCACUGCCACUGGAGGGCGCGUUUCUGAAUUCUUGCUUCUCAGCCCUACUAAGAGGUCUAAAUACCAGAUCAUAUAUAGAGAGUGUUUUGAUGGAUAUGUGCAGAAAUUGUUGAAUGAAUCCGUGUGACUAGUAUGCCAAAGGAGAAGGUCUAUUCUGCCUGUGAAUUACAGAACACACACCAUAAAGGCCAUGUAUGCCUUGGGCAGGGGGCACUGUGUGUGAGAAGGACUGAAGGAUGGACAUUUGGGUGCAGAAGUGAAGCAGGUAAACCUUACCUCAUUCCCCAGCCUCGAAAUCUCACUUCUGUUCUGCUCACUACUUGGGGUGGAAAGAGGAGGCCUAGAAGGUGUGAGCAAGCUCUUAUUUAUGCCCAAGAUGGGAGCUGAGGGAGCCCAAGUAGGGAGCAGUCCCUAAGUGGACUCCUUAUUUAAGAAGAGGGUUACAUAUUAAUGCAGCGACACUGGAACUUUUAGAAGAGUUAAGGACAGUGUCUUAUUCCUUAUUCUAGUCAUGGCAGAAUUCUCCAAUGGUACCUGCAUAAGAACCACUUGUUAACUGAUAAAGCAAGAGAAAACACAAGGAAGCUGUGACUGUCUGACUUACACUCAUGUGUUUCUGACUCUGGGAUUCAGGCGUGUCUCAGGGAAAUUUCCACAAUCUAAAACUUUGAGUGGAUGAGAUGAAUCUUCCAUUUCCUAAACCAAACUUCUUGACCAAGACCAUCUACUAAAAUUCAUUAUUUUGUAAUCCGUUUUUUGUAAAAACCAAUUCCUUCAGUGGUCGAGCUUGCCUAUCCUUUGUUUACUUUCUGGGAAGGGAGCAGGGGUGGGGGAACUCAGCAAAAACAAUGAAACAUCAUUUCAUAAGACUGUUUUAUAGAUUGGAGGGGCGGUUGGGGGAGGGUUGUCCAUGCCUUAAAGUGAUGGUCCUCAACCUUCCUAAUACAGUUCCUCAUGUGGUGGUGAUCCCCAACCAUAACAUUACUUUUGUUGCUACUUCAUAACUGUAAUUUUGCUACUUAUAUGAGUUGUCUAUCUGAUAUACAGGAUAUCUGAUACGAAACCCCAAUGAAAGGGCCAUUUGACCCCCAAAGGGGUCACAACAACAGGUUGAGAACCAUUGCCUCAGAGGAAUGAAUAGAAGUGAUCCUCUGUGGUUGAAACACAUCCCAUUCAGGUUUUUAAAACCUUUUGGGACACUGGAAAAGCAGUAUCCCAAAACAUUGUUACUAUGACUUCAUUACUAUCCAGUUAACCAAGCCACAUACAACAAAAUUGAUAAUGAGGCAACAGUCAAAAUUCACGAGUAAUUGAUAACAACGUCAAGUACUUGUACCCUUUAUUUGCUAGGCUCCAUUCAAAGGGAUUUGCAUAAAAGAAUCCUGGGCUGGAGAUGUAGCUUGAUGUUUGAAGCAUGCUUAGGUUUGGAAGCCCAGCUCAGGAAGUGUAGCUCAAGCUGGUACAGUGCUUGCCAAGCAUGCUGGAAGUCCUGGAUUUCAUCCCCAUGACCGAAUCACCUUGAGGAGGUGAAGAUGGAACUGGGGGUUGGAGGAUCACAAGUUCAAGGUACACAGCAAGUUAAGUGGGACCCUGACAGAAAACAAUAUGCCACAAAAACAAACAAAUCUUCCCACACAUACAGAAAGCUUGCUUAGCAUUGGUGUGGCCCUGGAUUCAUCACUCAGUACCACAAUAAUAAUGAUGAUUUUUUUUUUUUUAGUUCACUUUUUCUUUGUCUGAAUGUUUUGUUGUAUUUUCUGAGGCAGGGUGUCACUCUAUGUAAAUCAGGUUAGCCUUGAGUCCACAUGCUGAGUGCUGGAAUUACAGAUGUGUUCCGUCAAACCUGACCCAAUAAAAAUUGACCCAGUC